AUACGGAGGGUGCGAGCGUUAAUCGGAAUUACUGGGCGUAAAGCGCGCGUAGGCGGAUAAUUAAGUCAGAUGUGAAAUCCCCGGGCUCAACCUGGGAACUGCAUUUGAUACUGAUUAACUAGAGUAUGGUAGAGGUGAGUGGAAUUUCCGGUGUAGCGGUGAAAUGCGUAGAGAUCGGAAGGAACACCAGUGGCGAAGGCGACUCACUGGGCCAUUACUGACGCUGAGGUGCGAAAGCGUGGGUAGCAAACAGGAUUAGAAACCCGAGUAGUCC
rnacentral:rRNA from 1 species